rnacentral:rRNA from 1 species
AUACGUAGGUGGCGAGCGUUAUUCGGAUUCACUGGGCGUAAAGGGUCCGCAGGGGGCCUGCCAAGUCUGUCGUGAAAUCCCGGGGCUCAACCCCGGGUCUGCGGUGGAAACAGGCGGGCUGGAGUGUGUGAGGGGUAGACGGAACACCUGGUGUAGCGGUGGAAUGCGUGGAUAUCAGGUGGAACACCGAUGGCGAAGGCGGUCUACUGGCACACAACUGACCCUCAGGGACGAAAGCGUGGGUAGCAAACAGGAUUAGAUACCCUGGUAGUCCACGCUGUAAACGUUGAGAACCAGAUAUGGUGGGGCUGGCCCCCUCCGUGUCCAAGCUAACGCGAUAAGUUCUCCGCCUGGGGACUACGGCCGCAAGGCUAAA